rnacentral:rRNA from 1 species
GAACGCGAAGAACCUUACCUGGGCUUGACAUACACUGGAUCGGGCUAGAGAUAGUCUUUCCCUUUGUGGCUGGUGUACAGGUGGUGCAUGGUUGUCGUCAGCUCGUGUCGUGAGAUGUUGGGNNCAGUCCCGCAACGAGCGCAACCCUUGUCUUAUGUUGCCAGCAUUUGGUUGGGGACUCAUGAGAGACUGCCGGGGUGAACUCGGAGGAAGGUGGGGAUGACGUCAAAUCAUCAUGCCCCUUAUGUCCAGGGCUUCACACAUGCUACAAUGGUCGGUACAACGCGUGGCGAUCCUGUGAGGGUGUGCUAAUCGCUGAAAGCCGGUCGUAGUUCGGAUUGGGGUCUGCAACUCGACCCCAUGAAGUCGGAGUCGCUAGUAAUCGCAGAUCAGCAACGCUGCGGUGAAUACGUUCCCGGGUCUUGUACACACC